UACGGGGGGGGCAAGCGUUGUUCGGAAUUACUGGGCGUAAAGGGCUCGUAGGUGGCCAACUAAGUCAUACGUGAAAUCCCUCGGCUUAACCGGGGAACUGCGCCUGAUACUGGUUGGCUUGAGUUUGGGAGAGGGACGCGGAAUUCCAGGUGUAGCGGUGAAAUGCGUAGAUAUCAGGAGGAACACCGAUGGCGAAGGCAGGUCUCUGGGCCAUAACUGACGCUGAGAAGCGAAAGCAUGGGGAGCGAACAGG
rnacentral:rRNA from 1 species